rnacentral:rRNA from 1 species
UAGAGUUUGAUCAUGGCUCAGAUUGACCCUUUAAGGCAUGCUUUACACAUGCAAGUCGAACGGCAGCACCCCUUUUUGCACCUGGUGGCGAGUGGCGGACGGGUGAGUAAUGCAUCGGAACGUGUCCUGAAGUGGGGGAUAACGCAUCGAAAGAUGUGCUAAUACCGCAUAUUCUCUGAGGAGGAAAGUAGGGGAUCGAAAGACCUUAUGCUUUUGGAGCGGCCGAUGUCUGAUUAGCUAGUUGGUAGGGUAAUGGCUUACCAAGGCGACGAUCAGUAGUUGGUCUGAGAGGACGACCAGCCACACUGGGACUGAGACACGGCCCAGACUCCUACGGGAGGCAGCAGUGGGGAAUUUUGGACAAUGGGCGCAAGCCUGAUCCAGCAAUGCCGCGUGAGUGAAGAAGGCCUUCGGGUUGUAAAGCUCUUUCAGUUGAGAAGAAAAAGUCGUGACUAAUAAUCAUGAUUCAUGACGGUAUUCAACAG